rnacentral:rRNA from 1 species
AUUGAACGCUGGCGGCAGGCCUAACACAUGCAAGUCGAGCGGCAGCGGAAAGUAGCUUGCUACUUUGCCGGCGAGCGGCGGACGGGUGAGUAAUGUCUGGGAAACUGCCUGAUGGAGGGGGAUAACUACUGGAAACGGUAGCUAAUACCGCAUAACGUCGCAAGACCAAAGAGGGGGACCUUCGGGCCUCUUGCCAUCAGAUGUGCCCAGAUGGGAUUAGCUAGUAGGUGGGGUAACGGCUCACCUAGGCGACGAGCCCUAGCUGGUCUGAGAGGAUGACCAGCCACACUGGAACUGGGACACGGUCCAGACUCCUACGGGGGGCAGCAGUGGGGAAUAUUGCACAAUGGGCGCAAGCCUGAUGCAGCCAUGCCGCGUGUAUGAUGAAGGCCUUCGGGUUGUAAAGUACUUUCAGCGGGGAGGAAGGUGUUGAGGUUAAUAACCUCAGCAAUUGACGUUACCCGCAGAAGAAGCACCGGCUAACUCCGUGCCAGCCGCCGCGGUAA